rnacentral:rRNA from 1 species
UACGUAGGUCCCGAGCGUUGUCCGGAUUUAUUGGGCGUAAAGCGAGCGCAGGUGGUUUAUUAAGUCUGGUGUAAAAGGCAGUGGCUCAACCAUUGUAUGCAUUGGAAACUGGUAGACUUGAGUUCAGGAGAGGAGAGUGGAAUUCCAUGUGUAGCGGUGAAAUGCGUAGAUAUAUGGAGGAACACCGGUGGCGAAAGCGGCUCUCUGGCCUGUAACUGACACUGAGGCUCGAAAGCGUGGGUAUCGAACAGG